rfam:Brachypodium distachyon strain Bd21 chromosome 2, whole genome shotgun sequence.
CCUAUACUCACUCCGUCCUAUAUUAAGUGUCGAAAUAUUACAUGUAUCUCUAAACGCUUUUUAGUAUAGAUACAUUCAUCUUUGAGCAAAUUUUUGACACUUAAUAUGGGACGGAGGGAGUAUUUA